UACGGAGGUGGCAAGCGUUGCUCGGAAUCACUGGGCGUAAAGGGCGCGUAGGCGGGGAGGUAAGUCGGGUGUGAAAUCCCUCGGCCCAACCGAGGAACUGCGCCCGAGACUGCUUCUCUUGAGUCCCGGAGAGGAAGGUGGAAUUCCCGGUGUAGCGGUGAAAUGUGUAGAGAUCGGGAGGAACACCGGUGGCGAAGGCGGCCUUCUGGACGGUGACUGACGCUGAGGCGCGAAAGCUAGGGGAGCAAACGGG
rnacentral:rRNA from 1 species